rnacentral:lncRNA from 11 species
UAUUGAUUGUGCAUUGUGAGUGAGUAGUGUGUCUUUGGUGAUCCAGUCUAGAAGCGCAGCCCAAAGCUGUUGCAUUAAAAAUAUAAGGGGGAGGCAUGUUGACCAAGGACGGAAGGAAGGAAGGUACUCAGUUCGUUUUCCUGCUGCUACUACUACUAUUACUGCCAGCACUAGUGCCAGAAAAGGAGAAGAAAGGGAGAAAAAGGCAAAGGCAAAUAAAAGAGUGAUGAGAGAGGGAGCAGCAGCAGGGAAAACCACAGUCCUGACUGGCAGCCGCUUGAUUCCCCCCAGAACACCCUGCAAGUCGGGGAGCCCAGCCUUCUGCGUGGAUGCCCUGGACUUACAGCUCUGAGAAGAGGAAAAUGCAGUGUUCCAGAUGGCUUCGGCAUCUUACCGCACCCAAACAUUUGCGAGGGCCAGCAUUGUUGGCACAAAACACAGAUGGGAAGGGCAAAGCAGAUGCUUCAGUCUGGACAAAAGAUGUUUUCCUUAUUUUAUUCUCAAAGAAGUGCUUGCAGAAAGCUGUCUGGGUGGUAUAGUACAAAAAGCGAAAAAGCAAGGGCAGGAGCAAAAGAAGAGGCCCACCAGGAGCUUUACAAGACAGAAGCUGCGCUUUCCAUGUCAGCAAAUGUAUUCCCACCUCACCGCGAAGGCUGCUGUUGGGAGACCUUCAGCCUGCCAAGAGUACAGUGAAAUUUGGAGCGUGCCUGCUUUAGGUCAGAAACCUGGGCUGCCACACACCCCCUUCCCAAAAAAGCCUUCCUAA